CCCGGGUCAGAGCUCCUGCCUCGAACCUCCUGGUGGAGCCACUGACCCCUGAUCCCUCCUUCUCCCCCCUAGUGUGAGACCGAGACGGCUGGGGACGUGGAGGACACUGGCCUGGUGCCCACCCACCUGGCUAGCGAGUGCCCCUCCACCCUCCAGCGGGCGAUGGUUCAGCUGGUCAGCAGGCGUGGACGUGGCUUUCUGCUCACUGAAGAGUGUGGCUGACACUGGACCUGCUGAGCAUCCCUAGUUGGAGACAGAGUGCAAGAAAACAUGGAACCCCAGUAAGCGGGCACCCACGUUCUAGAGACGGCCCCCCACAGCUCACUCGGGCACGGACCCUGGACAGGACAGGAUGUUUGCUUGUCUCCCUGUGUCCCGAGGUUGGAGACCCAAGAAAGCCCGUGGUGAGGGCCUCAUCCGCCGCUGCAGGCGCUGGCUCAGCCUUGCCCUGGUGGGAUCUGGCCUUUUAGCCAGAGGAAGCCAAAGAGCUCCACAAGGAGCCCAGCACAGGGCUGGAUGACGGGGACUUCUACAUCCCAUCCCUGACCAGUGGGCCACACCACCAAGAGGGUCCAGAGCAGGCUGGAGGGCUGCAGGGAACAUCACGUCCCCUGAACAUCCUGAUGUUCCCACCCACCCAGGAGAGACCCCCGGGAAGGGACUGUCAGGCCGCAGGGGAUGCGUGUUGAAAGCUUGAACUGCUGGGGCCAGGUUGCUUGAAACAGCCAAGGAUCCCAAGCAAGUGAUGAGUGGCAGUUCCCUGCCAUUUGACAACUCUGCAUAUGAUCAGACUGUGAACCUUUUGUCCUGCCAAUGUGAGAAAGGCAAAUAAAGUGAAAAUUGCAAUCUCCCAGUGAGAAGUUGACCUAACAUUCAAUAAAUUUAAGACCAUUUAUAAAUUUUCUUCCCUGCAACGACAGCUCAUAUACCGAGAAUUUGCAAGGACUCUCACCCGCCCUGGAAUCUCCAGGCAUUUGCACUUCUGCGGCAUCUGGGAUCACCUGAGCCUCAGGUUCUCAAAACUCCCUUCAAUGUAAAGGAAAGAGGAGGAAGU